AGAAUCAACGCUGGCGGCGUGCCUAACACAUGCAAGUCGAACGCGAAAGUCCCGCAAGGGAUUAGUAGAGUGGCAAACGGGUGAGUAACACGUGGGUGACCUGCCUUCGAGCGGGGGAUAACGUCCCGAAAGGGACGCUAAUACCGCAUGACAUCCUGCCUUUGAAGAGGUGGAGAUCAAAGCCGGGGAUCGCAAGACCUGGCACUUGAAGAGGGGCCCGCGCCUGAUUAGCUAGUUGGUGGGGUAAUGGCUCACCAAGGCAACGAUCAGUA
rnacentral:rRNA from 1 species